GCGGACGGGUGAGUAAUGCCUAGGAAUCUGCCUGGUAGUGGGGGAUAACGUUCGGAAACGGACGCUAAUACCGCAUACGUCCCUACGGGAGAAAGCAGGGGACCUUCGGGCCCUUGCGCUAUCAGAUGAGCCUAGGUCGGAUUAGCUAGUUGGUGAGGUAAUGGCUCACCAAGGCGACGAUCCGUAACUGGUCUGAGAGGAUGAUCAGUCACACUGGAACUGAGACACGGUCCAGACUCCUACGGGAGGCAGCAGUGGGGAAUAUUGGACAAUGGGCGAAAGCCUGAUCCAGCCAUGCCGCGUGUGUGAAGAAGGUCUUCGGAUUGUAAAGCACUUUAAGUUGGGAGGAAGGGUUGUAGAUUAAUACUCUGCAAUUUUGACGUUACCGACAGAAUAAGCACCGGCUAACUCUGUGCCAGCAGCCGCGGUAAUACAGAGGGUGCAAGCGUUAAUCGGAAUUACUGGGCGUAAAGCGCGCGUAGGUGGUUUGUUAAGUUGGAUGUGAAAUCCCCGGGCUCAACCUGGGAACUGCAUUCAAAACUGACUGACUAGAGUAUGGUAGAGGGUGGUGGAAUUUCCUGUGUAGCGGUGAAAUGCGUAGAUAUAGGAAGGAACACCAGUGGCGAAGGCGACCACCUGGACUAAUACUGACACUGAGGUGCGAAAGCGUGGGGAGCAAAC
rnacentral:rRNA from 1 species